GACGAACGCUGGCGGCGUGCUUAACACAUGCAAGUCGAACGGAAAGGCCCUGCUUUUGCGGGGUGCUCGAGUGGCGAACGGGUGAGUAACACGUGAGUAACCUGCCCUUGACUUUGGGAUAACUUCAGGAAACUGGGGCUCAUAUCGGAUAGGAGCUCCUGCUGCAUGGUGGGGGUUGGAAAGUUUCGGCGGUUGGGGCUGGACUCGCGGGUUAUCAGCUUGUUGGUGGGGUAGUGGCUUACCAAGUCUUUGAAGGGUAGCCGGCCUGAGCGGGUGACCGGGCACAUUGGGACUGAGAUACGGCGCAGAAUCCUACGGGAGGUAGCAGUGGGGAGUAUUGCACAGUGGGCCGGAGCCAGAUGCGACAGCGCCGCGUGCGGAAUGACGGCCUUCGGGGUGUAAACCGCUUUCGACUGUGACGAAGCGUGAGUGACGGUAAUGGGUAAAGAAGCACCGGCUAACUACGUG
rnacentral:rRNA from 1 species